rnacentral:rRNA from 1 species
GGACCUGACUGCUAUCGGAUUGAUACUAAGCCAUGCGAGUCAUUGUAGUAAUACAAGGCAGACGGCUCAGUAACGCGUAGUCAACCUAACCUAUGGACGGGAAUAACCUCGGGAAACUGAGUAUAAUGCCCGAUAGAACAUUAUACCUGGAAUGGUUUAUGUUCCAAAUGAUUUAUCGCCGUAGGAUGGGACUGCGGCCUAUCAGUUUGUUGGUGAGGUAAUGGCCCACCAAGACUAUUACAGGUACGGGCUCUGAGAGGAGUAGCCCGGAGAUGGGUACUGAGACACGGACCCAGGCCCUAUGGGGCGCAGCAGGCGAGAAAACUUUGCAAUGUGCGAAAGCACGACAAGGUUAAUCCGAGUGGUUUCUGCUAAAGGAACCUUUUGUCGGUCCUAGAAACACCGAAUGAAUAAGGGGUGGGCAAGUUCUGGUGU